AGGAUGUAUGGUGGAGGGCAAAUGCCGCGCACCCAAAGAGUCAUGGAUGGAAAAGAAGGGAAAUACGUGUGCCACGAAACGCUGUCAACCUAAGGUUAACAAAACAUGGAGAGUGUAUACACAAAAAGUGUCGUGUCUGAAAGAAGAUGGCACGUGUGUUGGAAAAGGUACAACCUGGACGACCAUGAAAGGCGGAAAAUGCUGGCAUUAUGAGUGCAUAAUUUCACCACUUAACCAAGUCCAAAUUUCAUCAAAACAAGUUGGAAAGUGUUAAGAAAGAAAGUGAGACUCACCAGUCUAGAACCGAAAACGAAAUCGAAACCGAUGCCAGAAUCAAUUUGCAACAAACCGAUGACGAAGG